rnacentral:lncRNA from 1 species
CCCGGUAGUGUCUGCUCAGGCGCCAGGGCUGCUGGGGGCAGACUGAAUGAAGAUGGCAUUAGCCAGGAAUGGGUAGGAAUUGUCCCACCUGUGGUCUCACCUCUGUCCAGCUGGGUGGCCUCGGUGCCCCCACCUGUGCAUGAAGGCAUGAGAGCAGGUGGUCAUGGAGCCCAGAGCAACAGGCGACCUCGCACGCUGCCCACACCCAUGCCUGGCAGGCCCCUUCGCCCUCCUCAGCCUCUUGCACCCGAUGUGCUAAGGCUCCAGGCACCCGCCUUCAGUCAACCAUAGGUACAAGCCUGCCUGCUGCUCCAGAAGACCCUGUCCAUGCAGGAGGUGAGGUCGUGCUUCCAGGACCCCGAGUCGAAGCAGCUGAUCGGCCAGGUUCAGACAAAUGUCACGGAGAACCUGCGCACACUGGGGGAGGCGCAGACCAAGGCGGAGCACCAGCAGGCGCUGUCCUCCCUGGAGCUGCUCAAUACUGUCUUCAGGACCUGCAAACACGAGAAGCUGACCUUGGACCUGGCGGUGCUCCUGGGCAUGCUGCAGGGGCAGCAGCAGGGACAGCAGCAGGGCCUGCGGCAGGCGGCGCACUCCACCGGCUCCAGCCACCUGCUCGACCUCUACUGGCAGGCCAUGAAAACCCUGGGGAGUCCAGUAGGUUCUGGGCGGGGGAUGCACACUUAGGCGGGGCUAGGAUCGCCCUCACACUGCUGCGCACACUCAGAUGUGGGAGCCCUGGGCCUCUGGGGCCCCACGGGACCCGGGUGGAGGUGGCCGCUGCCCUCACUGGGCACCUUCUUACCUGCUCACUCCCCUCAGGUGCCCGAAGUUGGAGAAGAAGGAUACCAAGGAGAUCCCCAGCACCACCUAGGGCCCCAUCAGCAGGAAGCNNNNNNNNNNNNGAA